rnacentral:rRNA from 1 species
GACGAACGCUGGCGGCGUGCUUAACACAUGCAAGUCGAGCGUAAGGCCCUUUCGGGGGUACACGAGCGGCGAACGGGUGAGUAACACGUGGGUGACCUGCCCUUAGCUCUGGGAUAAGCCUGGGAAACUGGGUCUAAAUACCGGAUAUGACUCCAUGACGCAUGUUGUGGGGUGGAAAGCCUUGUGCGGCUAGGGAUGGGCCCGCGGCCUAUCAGCUUGUUGGUGGGGUGAUGGCCACCAAGGCGACGACGGGGUAGCCGGCCUGAGAGGGCGACCGGCCACACUGGGACUGAGACACGGCCCAGACUCCUACGGGAGGCAGCAGUGGGGAAUCUUGCGCAAUGGGCGAAAGCCUGACGCAGCGACGCCGCGU